rnacentral:rRNA from 1 species
AACAAACGCUGGCGGCGUGCCCAAUACAUGCAAGUCGAACGGGGAAAGCUUUCGGGUGAGUACUAGUGGCGCACGGGUGAGGAACGCGUGGAUAAUCUGCCUUAGAGUGGGGGAUAACUAGUCGAAAGAUUAGCUAAUACCGCAUAAGACCACGGGAGCUGCGGCUCAAGGGGUCAAAGGUUUUUCGCUCUAAGAUGAGUCCGCGUAAGAUUAGCUAGUUGGUGAGGUAACGGCUCACCAAGGCGACGAUCUUUAACUGGUCUGAGAGGAUGAUCAGUCACACUGGAACUGAGACACGGUCCAGACUCCUACGGGAGGCAGCAGUAGGGAAUAUUGCACAAUGGAGGAAACUCUGAUGCAGCGACGCCGCGUGAGUGAUGAAGGCCUUCGGGUCGUAAAGCUCUGUCGCAGGGGAAUAACACAAUGAAUGUACCCUGUAAGAAAGGAUCGGCUAACUUCGUGCCAGCAGCCGCGGUAACAC